rnacentral:lncRNA from 12 species
AUGUCUUCCCUCGGAUUUCUGAAGGGAAGAAUCUCUCUCUCUCUCUCUCUCUCUCUCUUUUUUUUUUUUUGCAGUUUUUUUUUCUUUUAUACAAUACUGUUUUCCCACCUCUUGAAUGGGAUGGUUUUGAAAAUCCAGGAACAGGUGUUUGGGUAAUUAUUUUCAAUGAAGUGCUAUACCUGUCUUGGUACAGCAUGGUACAGUGUGUGGUCCCUAAUUAACUCAACUCUCAAUUCUCCAGUCAUGUAAGCCAAAGUUCUUAGCCAUGUUUACUAAAAUGUUUACUAUCUUUUAAUAUAUGUUGCAUUUACACAAAAAGGUGGUAGUGGAGAUGGCAAGACAGUCUUAUAAAGCAAGUGGUUUCUAUGAACCAUAAAUCCAGGCAAAUGACCUCUAGAUAAAUGGGGUUAUAAAUAUGUAUCUGUGGUUAGAAUAUGUGUGAUUAAGUUAACACAAAUAGGCUGAACUUUGGUACUAUUCUGUGGGUUGCUACUUAAUAUUUAAUAAUUCAUAUUUAAAACCAGUUAAAACCUUCAAUAAGUUCCUGAUUCUCUUCAUAUUUUGAACAUAUUUAAGGGAAUACAGUCACCCUCCUCCACUUUGCUGAUGUUAUUGAUAUAUUUGCCUCUUUGAUGUUUGAUUGAUGCUUUUUGUUCAACUACCAAAUGAUUUUGAGCUAAAGGUAAAGUUUUACUAUUUUUUGUUGUGGAGAUUUAGAAAAGCUCAUGCAAUUCUUAGUAGUUGAAAUGGUACCCUGGACUCGAAAAACAGAAAACUAAUAGGUGUGCACUUUUGUCUCAAGCCCCAUGCUAUUCAAAAUGUAGGAAAGAACAGCUGAGCUCACCUGAUGGUCUUUGAAAAUAAUUCUUAUGCCCAUUUUUUUUGUGGUUUAAUUAGAACUGUACUUUCUUCCUGAAAGAAUGUGAAGUAAGUUACCUUCAAAAAUAAAAACAAAAUGGAAUAUUCUGGGUGUCUUCA